GACGUAGGGCGCGAGCGUUGUCCGGAUUUAUUGGGCGUAAAGAGCGUGUAGGCGGCCUGGCAAGUCUGCUGUGAAAACUCGAGGCUCAACCUCAAGCUGUCGGUGGAAACCCCUUGGCUAGAGUCCGGAAGAGGAGAGUGGAAUUCCUGGUGUAGCGGUGAAAUGCGCAGAUAUCAGGAAGAACACCAAUGGCGAAGGCAGCUCUCUGGGACGGUACUGACACUGAGACGCGAAAGCGUGGGGAGCGAACAGG
rnacentral:rRNA from 1 species